rnacentral:rRNA from 1 species
GUACACGCUGUGACUAGCAUAUCAAUAAGCGGAGGAAAAGAAACUAACAAGGAUUCCCCUAGUAACGGCGAGUGAAGCGGGAAGAGCUCAAAUUUGAAAUCUUAAAGGGUUUCCCUUUACGAAUUGUAGUUUAAAGAAGUGUUUUCUGUUGAGGUUUUGGUAAAAGUUCUUUGGAAUAGGACAUCAUAGAGGGUGAGAAUCCCGUAUUUGACCUUUACUUUCAACUUUGUGAUACACUUUCAAAGAGUCGGAUUGUUUGGGAAUGCAGUCCAAAAUGGGUGGUAAAUUUCAUCUAAAGCUAAAUAUUGGCGAGAGACCGAUAGCGAACAAGUACCGUGAGGGAAAGACGAAAAGAACUUUGAAAAGAGAGUUAAACAGUACGUGAAAUUGUCAAAAGGGAAGCGUUUGACACCAGUGUUGUUUUUCUGAAAAUCAAUUAAAGAACUGUUUAUGCUAAGUUGUUUAGACUUUAUCAGCUAUCUGUUUAGUUUUGAGCUUUUCUUUAAUGCACUUUUCAGUUAACAAGUCAACAUCAAUUUCUUUUGCUGUAAAAAAGCUUGAGGAAGGUGGCUUGAGAUUCGUCUUAAGUGUUUAUAGCCUCUUGCCUAUGCAGUCGGAGAGAUUGAGGUCUGCAGCGUAGAUCCUUCGGGGCUAAAUGCAUUUGUGCUAAGUUAUAGCAUUUUAUAGACAACUUGUUGACUAUGAUUUGUCUUGUAGCUUACUCGCUUAUGUUAUUUUACCUACGCUUAGGAUGUUGACGAGACUGUCGAUCUC